rnacentral:rRNA from 1 species
CCUACGGGAGGCAGCAGUAGGGAAUCUUCCACAAUGGGCGAAAGCCUGAUCGAGCAACUCCGCGUGUGUGAUGAAGGUCUUCGGAUCGUAAACCCCUGUUGUUAGAGACGAAAGUGCGUGAUCGUAACUAUUCCCGUUUCGACGGUAUCUAACCAGAAAGCCACGGCUAACUACGUGCCAGCAGCCGCGGUAAUACGUAGGUGGCAAGCGUUAUCCGGAUUUAUUGGGCGUAAAGGGAGCGCAGGCGGUCUUUUAAGUCUGAUGUGAAAUCCUCCGGCUUAACCGGGGUAGUGCAUUGGAGACUGGGAGACUUGAGUGCAGAAGAGGAGAGUGGAACUCCACGUGUAGCGGUGAAAUGCGUAGAUAUAUGGAAGAACACCAGUGGCGAAAGCGGCUCUCUGGUCUGUAACUGACGCUGAGGUUCGAAAGCGUGGGUAGCAAACAGGAUUAGAUACCCGAGUAGUC